CUUCCCCUUCCCUCCUUCCUUCUCAUUUUCAAAAUCCCCAAUUUAGAUAGGAAGUAGGAACCCUAGCUUUCUCAUCUUCCUCCCGUCACCUCCUUCCCGUCGCCACUGUCGGCGUGCAGCUCGGUGGUUUCGCGUGGUCGCCGAAGAGCAAGAGGAGGCGUCGCCUCCCUGAUUCUCUUCCUCUCUCGGCGAAGGCGUCUGUCCUUCGCGACUAUGCCCCAUCGCCCGCCACGGAGGUGUCCUCGCCGGUCUCGUUUCCGUCCUUGCCCGGGAGCGGCGUCCGAGGUCGCUGCUAAUUUCCAGUCCCUCACUCCGUCGCUCGUCACCACUGGCGUCGCGCCGUCGGAGAAGGAGAGGAGGCAUCGCCUCUCUCUCUCUCUCUACGCACACGGCUCCGCUCCGCCAGCAUCGUCUGCCCUCCGUCGAGCUGCUGUUCCGACCGCCAAUGUAUCAACCGGCGUCAUCUAGAUGCACCGCCGAGACAGCCACCACCCGCCAAUCGGCCAUAAAGCUAAGUCUCAAAACCCUCACUAUCUGGUUCAUUAGCUAACAAAUUCUCUUUGGGCAGUGAUUUAUGGAGGAUCGUUAUUUGUUGAAGGGGGGGAUAAAGAUUUGGUUUCUUCUUGGCUAAAAUUUAUUCAUCAGAUUAGUGCUUGAGAAGGGUUGUUGUUAUUGACCUAAAAGAGGACCUUUUGUUCCAGCUGUGAACAUUUGGCUGAGCAUUGUGAUUUAAAGAUUCUUGAAUAGUUUGAAGCCAUUAACUUAGUAACUUGAGAAGGAAGGGAAAACUUAGCAUGCUGUUCCAGGGGUAUUCCUUUGUGAAAAAAAAAUUGGUUAUGCUCUUGAAAACCUAAUAUGCUGCGCCUAUUGGUUUUCAUGUGUUCAUGCUCUCAUGUUUCUAUCGUGUGGGGAAAGAGUGUUACCUCUGAAAUGUAGUUACCGUCCUUAAUUUUCUGCUCCUAGAAUUCAAGCUUUCUUGCUCUCAAGCUCACUAUGUUGCUGGAAAUUUCAAGGUGUGUAGGAGUGUUCAUAGGUGGUGUGGACUGUGGAGAUGGUUUUUAUAGCCAAACUCGUGUACUUGUGCAGCAUUAACUUGAGCUGCUAUAUGCCUUGUUUUCUUUCUGCAGCAACUUCAACUGCAACUUGGCUCCAUGUGUGUACCUAGUACUUUAGUUAAUAAAUGGAACUUGUUUCUUGUGGCAGGUGCACAAGAAGAGGGAUGCAGGGUUGUUAAUUGAGGACCUGCAGAGUUUCUGGCUCGUGGCAGAUUUCGGUUAUGGGCUGAUGGAGAGUGCAGGAGCUUGCAGCAACCUAUCCUUUGUUCUCCAUUACAAAAAGAUGAAGGAGUUGUUGGCUGGAAACGGCCUCCCGCGCCAUGGCUCACUGCUCUUGGCCCGACGGCCGGUCGGAGAUAAGGUCGUGUGUGGUGCGGUUUGGCUCGGGGAGAAGAAUAGAUUCAAAACGUCUUCGUCUUGACAUUUUUAUGUAUAUUUUUCCUUUAUUUUCAUUGUCAUAUUUUGUAAGCUAAGACAUAGCUUGACAAGUAUCUAUUGUAAUUUAUUCGACUAGGAAAAAAAUGAGCACGUAUUCACUCUUAAA